UCCAGUGGAUGUGACCGGGGACGCACAGGGUUGCCACUUUCCAAGUCUCCCAAACCCCCAAGGAUGGGUAUUGGAGCUUCAAAGGAGAAAAACAGCAUCCUGGGCCGCAGCGCGGACUGGGGCAGAGGCUCCCGCAGGGCGAGAGGACGCCGGCGGUGCCUUGCAGGGAGCGGGAGGCCACAGGAGUCAUUGUCAUUUGGGGGGCUGCGGCCCCUCCCCUCCCCGGCCCCUGCGCCAGGGCAACAGCGAGGGGCGCACGCAGACUCGGGAGGCACAUGUAAGGGGAGAAUUGAAAUAUUUCGCCACGUCCCAGCCCAGCCCGUGAAGGGCCGCUGAGGGAAGCCGUGCUAAGCCAACAGCCUUCAUAACGCGCUGUCCAUCCUUCCCACUUGGAGCCACGUCUCUGGCACUUCCGAAAAUCCACUCAAGCAACUUCCACGCUGCAAACACCUGCACCACAGCACCUUCUGAAGCACCAACUCCUGUUUGGGAAGGGAUCCCAAAGAAUGUGCAAGACGCUGAAUGAAAAACCACCUCGUUUCGAAGUCGGGUGAAAUAGGGCCAUGCCGGUAGCCAACCACACGCUGCAGAUUAACGCGUUCUGAUUUAACAAACCCCUGGGACAAAACCACCCCGGGCGGUCUGGGGCUGGAACUGACUUUCCACCGAAUAGUUUCGCAUUAGCGUCUGGAGCAAACAACCAGCUUUGUUUUCCGACAUUGAUAGACCAUUUUGUCCAGGAAGCAUUUGCCCAGAAACAGGUGAAUCAGCAAGAGGCAAGAUUUGUGGCUAACAGCUCUGUGCCAACGGUUUUUAAACGCUUGCCUGUAACCCUGAUGGAAUAUUACAUUGAAACUACGGGUUUGAGGAAUAUUGCCUCGCCCUACUGAAACCCAGUCUUUUUUAAUGACAUUUUUUCCCAGAGAAGUGGGCAGUGUUUUGUUGUUUUUCGCGUUUGGUGUAGCUUAUAGAAUCCCGUUUCCCUGUUCCGAAACUGUCUUGAAUUUCUGUAUAGUUUCAAAUUGCCUUCUCCUUUGAUGUCAUUUCCAAAGUAAAUUUGUGCUCUAUUAUUCACAGGAAA